rnacentral:piRNA from 1 species
UCCAAAGCCAGAACAUUAAUGCCCAAGU